GGCCCAGGAGAAGCUCAGCUCCAGUAACACGGCGGAGUGGGAGCUCGCCGACCAUUCUCUCAUUCAUGUGGACAAACUAACCACACAGAGAACAGUUGUUUGACUUGGCCUUAAGCAAAGUCCCGUGACAUCUUCUAGGCUGGUCUUGAGCGAAGGCCAUAGCAAAGCUGGACAGCGGUGAGGGUGAGGAGGGGCCGUGAAGUAGCUAUGGAUGACCGACCAGCGAGGAACUCUGAGCACUGCACCUUGUGACGUCCACUCGUCCACGUGCCAGGACAGCAACAAUGACAAUAACAACGACAACAAAAACCUGAAAGUAGAAGGAAGACGAGCUGAGGAGAAUCAGUGGGCAUGACACAGGAACAAGAAGAAGUAUCUGGCAGAAAGAAAAGACUUGUGGUCACCAGAAACAAAAAGCAAAACACCCUGGAGAUAUUUUAUAUACGACAUCCGUCAUUUGGUGAAAGAUUGUAAACUGUGUAAGAAAGUUGGAGAAUGAAACCCACAAUCAAGAGGAGAAACAGUCAAUAGAAGCAGAUCCGCAGGUCCAUGGAAACUAAAAGGGUGGAAAAAAGGGUAAUGUCAAUCCAAGUCAAAGGGAAGCUGGAGUGCUGCAUUGUUAAAGCAGCUCAGAGUAAGAUGAGCAGAACUGAAAAGGUGUUGCAAACGGGCAAAGCAACAUUUCAUCAAGAAGACAUCAAUCCUGACUGUGCAUUUACUUCAUAGCAGAGUUGUAAAACACAAGAGGCAAAACUGAAAAUACCAAAGGGAAAAUGACAAAAUCUGUAUUCACAAACUAACAGAAUUCAUAGAAAAUAUUCACAAGAUUAAGAACAUAGAACAUCUAAGCCCUAUCAAUAAGACGACCUCAUUUAUAUUUGUGGAACAUUAUGGGUCCCACUCAUAAACUUAUCUAUGCAUAACCAUAUCCCACAAACUCCAUCUAUUCUCCCCCAAAAUUCUGUAUCAUAAAACAAGUCUCAAUAAAUUAUAAAGAAGGGAAACCA